rnacentral:rRNA from 1 species
GAUGAACGCUGGCGGCGUGCCUAAUACAUGCAAGUCGAGCGGAAAGAAGGGGAGGUUGCUUCCGGGACGGUGACGGCGGAAGGGGGAGUAAAACGGGGGAGAAACACCUGUAAAACCGGGAAUAAUUCGGGGAAUAGGAGCUGAAACCGGAUGAUAUAAUGGAAUGCAUGGGUGAAAAAUCAUAGAAGGGUUGGCGGUUGAUUAAAGAGGGAUCCGCGGCGCCUGAGCCAGUUGGUAAGGUAACGGCUUACCAAGGCAACGAUGGGUAGCCGCCCUGAGAGGGUGAUCGGCCACACUGGCACUGAGACACGGUCCAGACUCCUACGGGAGGCAGCAGUAGGGAAUCUUCCGCAAAGGGCGAAAGCCUGACGGUGCAACGCCGCGUGAGUGAUGAAGGUCUUCGGCUCGUAAAACUCUGUUAUUAGGGAGGAACAAAUGUGUAAGUAACUAUGCACGUCUUGACGGUACCUAAUCAGAAAGCCACGGCUAACUACGUG